GGAGUUAGCCGGUGCUUCUUCUGUGAGUGAUGUCCUUCCUGCCGGCUAUUAACCCGCAGGCCUUCUUCCUCACUGAAAGUGCUUUACAACCCGAAGGCCUUCUUCACACACGCGGCAUGGCUGGAUCAGGGUUGCCCCCAUUGUCCAAUAUUCCCCACUGCUGCCUCCCGUAGGAGUCUGGGCCGUGUCUCAGGUCCCAGUGUGGCUGAUCAUCCUCUCAGACCAGCUACGGAUCGUCGCCUUGGUGAGCCGUUACCUCACCAACCAGCUAAUCCGACAUAGGCUCAUCCGAUAGCGCGAGGCCCGAAGGUCCCCCGCUUUCCCCCGUAGGGCGUAUGCGGUAUUAGCCUGGGUUUCCCCCAGGUUAUCCCCCACUACCGGGCAGAUUCCUAUGCAUUACUCACCCGUCCGCCGCUCGCCACCAGGGAGCAAGCUCCCCGUGCCUGCCGCUCGACUUGCAUGUGUUAGGCCUGCCGCCAGCGUUCAAUCUGAGCCAGGAUCAAACUCUGA
rnacentral:rRNA from 1 species